rnacentral:tRNA from 1 species
AGGCCCAUAAGUUAAUGGAUUAGACUCCCCGGCUUCGGACCGGGAAAUCAGGGUUCGAUUCCCUGUGGGCCUA